rnacentral:rRNA from 1 species
UAGGGAAUCUUCCACAAUGGACGCAAGUCUGAUGGAGCAACGCCGCGUGAGUGAAGAAGGGUUUCGGCUCGUAAAGCUCUGUUGUUAAAGAAGAACGUGGGUAAGAGUAACUGUUCACCCAGUGACGGUAUUUAACCAGAAAGCCACGGCUAACUACGUGCCAG